GAGUCCGAGAGUUAGAGCAAAAACUUCUGAAAUAUGGGAAUAUUUCAGGCCAAAUGGUAAAAGAGUUGUCUGUACACUCUGUCAAACGUCACUUGGAAACACACAGGAGUUGUUUAAGAUGUUUGGCGCGUUUUUCUCUCCUCCAUGUCACCUCCGGGGCUCCAAAGAUGCGCUCACAGAAAAGAAAAAGACAACGAAGCAGUACGCUGUCUUCACAACUCGGAGAUAAACUGUAGCUAUAGGCGCAAAGAAACCGGAGCAAGGACUAACCUCGCCUCAUAACGAGGCUGUGACCUAUAUUUGCUCGGAGCUGUCUGCAAGUCCAGAUUUACGUUGAUAAUGACGCCAUUGUGUCUGCCUAUAAGACAUACUACGAGACAGCACGCAGGAGCUUCAGGUAGAAACAACCAGAUGUGGCAUCGCGGGCAGAAGCUGUGAAGAGCUCAGCCCGGAGUGGGUCAAGAAGAAAAGAGGACAUACAGGACAACGCACCACAGAGGUCUGCUAAAUGGACCGAAUUCUGCCGGUUACCUACAGCUCCGAGCCGGCCGCGGGUUAGAUGUGGACGGUGCUGCUUCUCGUGAGCGUGGGAUAUUUGUUGUGUGUGCUGU